GAUUUUGUUAAAAAGAUGAAAUGUGUCUCGUCGUAUGUGUUCUGUUGACUGCAAACAAAAUCAUGGACUACAGGGAGGGAGAUACAACAAUGGUCUUGAGAACAACAGGAAGUGUGUUGGUGGUCUUUCUUUGGUCUUUGACAGGUGUUGCAGUGGUACUGGGUCAGAGUGUGAAGUACACCUCCCAGAAGAUCUGUGCCUUGAAGGGGUCAACCGUGGACAUGUCUUGCUCUUACACAAAUCCCAGGGGUUACACAAUCA